rnacentral:snRNA from 1 species
AUCGCUUCUCGGCCUUUUGACUAAGAUCAAGUGCACUAUCUGUUUUUAUCAGUUCAAUAUCUGAGACACCCUCUUUCCAAGGACAAACAUGAAACGGAUUUUUUUUCAGAUGUAAAUAUACAAUUUUCAUAUGCAUCAGUCAAA